CAUUCACGGAGAGUUUGAUCCUGGCUCAGGACGAACGCUGGCGGCGUGCUUAACACAUGCAAGUCGAACGAUGAAGCCUUUCGGGGUGGAUUAGUGGCGAACGGGUGAGUAACACGUGGGCAAUCUGCCCUUCACUCUGGGACAAGCCCUGGAAACGGGGUCUAAUACCGGAUAAUACUUCUGCCUGCAUGGGUGGGGGUUGAAAGCUCCGGCGGUGAAGGAUGAGCCCGCGGCCUAUCAGCUUGUUGGUGGGGUAAUGGCCUACCAAGGCGACGACGGGUAGCCGGCCUGAGAGGGCGACCGGCCACACUGGGACUGAGACACGGCCCAGACUCCUACGGGAGGCAGCAGUGGGGAAUAUUGCACAAUGGGCGAAAGCCUGAUGCAGCGACGCCGCGUGAGGGAUGACGGCCUUCGGGUUGUAAACCUCUUUCAGCAGGGAAGAAGCGCAAGUGACGGUACCUGCAGAAGAAGCGCCGGCUAACUACGUGCCAGCAGCCGCGGUAAUACGUAGGGCGCAAGCGUUGUCCGGAAUUAUUGGGCGUAAAGAGCUCGUAGGCGGCUUGUCACGUCGGAUGUGAAAGCCCGGGGCUUAACCCCGGGUCUGCAUUCGAUACGGGCUAGCUAGAGUGUGGUAGGGGAGAUCGGAAUUCCUGGUGUAGCGGUGAAAUGCGCAGAUAUCAGGAGGAACACCGGUGGCGAAGGCGGAUCUCUGGGCCAUUACUGACGCUGAGGAGCGAAAGCGUGGGGAGCGAACAGGAUUAGAUACCCUGGUAGUCCACGCCGUAAACGUUGGGAACUAGGUGUUGGCGACAUUCCACGUCGUCGGUGCCGCAGC
rnacentral:rRNA from 1 species